GCUAAAAAGACCACAGGUUCAUCUGUUUCCAGACAAAUGCCCCCGCAGCAGAAACAGAGACGCAAUUCUGUUACUCAGCAAAGACAGAAUUCAGAAUCUGUCUCUUCACGAGUAACACAAACUGAGGAAAGG